ACCUUUCUCUGUCUAUAAACUCUUAGGCCGAAUUAGUGGAAGGAGCUUUAUGUUCAUACAUGUGGAAUUUCAUCAUAGCAAUUCAAUAAAGGUUGUAAUGGUCCUUGAAUGGCUGCUAGGACCCGUGCAGUUCAUACCUCAGCACUAAAGCAGGAGACGGGUUGGUCUAAGGUCCCGUUGCGAGGCACUGGUAGAUAAAGCACACUCCAGACAAUGGCCUGUUCUGCUCAUGCAGAUGAUGGUGUGCAAUAUCAAAGCCAAAUGAGAUGGCUGCCAAUUAGGGAGGGCUUCCAAGUGCAUUUCAAUGCAAACUCGCACCGCUUUUGCAGCUGGGCUGCCCUGCCUCACUUGGAUGCAUCAACAAAGCUUGAAGUGGCCACUCUAAUCUGGAAACUCUGUUUGGGCCAUGCAUACAGGAACUGCUGACACGGAAAGAUUUAGCUAUUAUAGCAUAUCAUUACAUGAAUAAAAUAUGCAUAUGAUUACAUGAAAAAGUUUGUUCAAUGAUUCUUCAAUUUGGGUUUGUUGGGAUAGAAGGGGGAGGGGGCGCGCAGCAGGCUUUGUCAAUACCUUGCAAAGUAAUAGGCCGAUGACCUGGGUUAAUAAUUAACACCAAAAUUACAAAAAGCAGUUUGGUAAUUUUUCAAUAGAGAACUGUAUAGCUUCAUGGGUAACAUAAGCUUUCAGACACCGAGAAAGAAUAACAAGAACUACAAUAAUUGCACUUAUAACUUCUUUGUGGUUGCUUUUUGUGCUCUGCAUUGUCGUGCACGUUCUCCUGACUCUUGGGGCUUCAAAACACGUUUCCUUUUUAUCUCAUACGUUCUGGUCAUUUUCUUGAAACAGUAAGGACCUGCGGUGGUAAGAAAAUCAUUUAUGACUUCCUAUGUCCUGGCCAGUCCUCCAGGGGUCCUGCACAGUGUCAGGGGAAUGUAGAUGAGCCCACCUCAGCAGACUCCUUUUUGCCAUUUUUUUUUUUCCGAUAGACCUGCAGAUGGGUUCUUGUGCACUCAGACCCCCAACGGGACCCUUUAUCCUUGCUCUAAAAAUGACCAUCUGAGCUCCUCAUCAUAGACGGUUCAAGAGAGGGUGAGGCCUUUUUUCAACCCAUCAUGUUCCUGUUGCCCAGAAACAUUUCUGAUUUACA